rnacentral:rRNA from 1 species
UACGGAGGGUGCUAGCGUUGUUCGGAAUUACUGGGCGUAAAGCGUGCGCAGGCGGUUGUGCAAGACGGAUGUGAAAUCCCCGGGCUCAACCUGGGAAUUGCAUUUGUGACUGCACGGCUAGAGUGUGUCAGAGGGGGGUAGAAUUCCACGUGUAGCAGUGAAAUGCGUAGAGAUGUGGAGGAAUACCGAUGGCGAAGGCAGCCCCCUGGGAUAACACUGACGCUCAUGCACGAAAGCGUGGGGAGCAAACAGG